GGCACCUACAGGGCCGGGAGAGUGAUCCCAGAGGCCUCCCCGCCCAGUACCCGCCGGCAAAAAGCCAGCGGCACCCCCACGCCGCCCGCCGCCUACCGCCCGCCGCCAGGACCAGGAUCCGGACCCAGUCAGGACGCUCACCUUGCUCUCGGGGACGGGAAAACAACCUCUCGGAGAGUACAGUUCUGGCGCGGCUUCCGCGGGCUGGAGCCCAGAGUCUAAUUCAAACUGCCCGCAGCGGCCACCGGUGCCCAAUUCGCCCGCUUCUGGUCUCAACCAAACUUACCUCCACGCCUAUUGGUCACUCUAAGUAGCGGCGGACCAAUCUGCGCCUGCGCACUCAGACUGCCGCCUCUGAUUGGCCCUUUCGGAUGGAUUUUAAAAACAAGCCCUCUACUGGAGGUGCCUGUGCCAGAGUUACUGUUCUUUUUUGUUGUUGCGGGGAGACGGAGACCACGUGCUUUUGCUAAUGCUAGACGCGGUUUUGGACCGCUAUUUCCGCAAAAGUCAGGGAAUGCGCCCGCUGAUUAGGAAGGCGUGGUCUAUCGCCUACAGCCAGGGGAACUGUGCUGCCUGGUGAAACCUCUUUUAAACUGCACGUACCAAUCUACUUAAUUAAACAGCUUUCUCAGAAGAUAAAGGAGCCUGCUCAGCCAGCACACAACCAAGGCCUGGAAAUGUGGAGACAGUUACAGCUUCCAGGGGCAAUUCUCAACCAAUGGGAUCAGAAGCCAGUGAACAAAUGCCCCAGUGUUCCAUCUUUCACUUGGGCAAUUCCGAGAGAUCCAAAAGAAUCAAACCCCAGGUACUUACUGCUACAAAUGGUGACAUUGCAUCCUUAUACUUUUCCUUCUUCCCUGUCUCACUCUCCCUGACCCCACCCCUCUACCAUUUUGCUUCCUGGAAUCAUCACCCAAAUAAACUAUGUCCACCAAAUC